rnacentral:rRNA from 1 species
CCUACGGGUGGCAGCAGUGGGGAAUAUUGCACAAUGGGCGCAAGCCUGAUGCAGCCAUGCCGCGUGUGUGAAGAAGGCCUUCGGGUUGUAAAGCACUUUCAGCGGGGAGGAAGGCGGUGAGGUUAAUAACCUCAUCGAUUGACGUUACCCGCAGAAGAAGCACCGGCUAACUCCGUGCCAGCAGCCGCGGUAAUACGGAGGGCGCAAGCGUUAAUCGGAAUUACUGGGCGUAAAGCGCACGCAGGCGGUCUGUCAAGUCGGAUGUGAAAUCCCCGGGCUCAACCUGGGAACUGCAUUCGAAACUGGCAGGCUAGAGUCUUGUAGAGGGGGGUAGAAUUCCAGGUGUAGCGGUGAAAUGCGUAGAGAUCUGGAGGAAUACCGGUGGCGAAGGCGGCCCCCUGGACAAAGACUGACGCUCAGGUGCGAAAGCGUGGGGAGCAAACAGGAUUAGAUACCCUGGUAGUC